GCUUCUGUAGCUCAUUGGCAGAGCGCUGGUCUUGUAAUCCAGGAGUCGUUAGUUCAAUCCUCCCGGGAGGCA